UACGUAGGGGGCGAGCGUUGUCCGGAAUCAUUGGGCGUAAAGCGCGUGUAGGCGGCCCGGAAAGUCUGGUGUGAAAUCUUUGGGCUCAACCCGAAGCUGUCACUGGAUACUGUCGGGCUUGAGUCCGGAAGAGGAGAGUGGAAUUCCUGGUGUAGCGGUGGAAUGCGCAGAUAUCAGGAGGAACACCCAUGGCGAAGGCAGCUCUCUGGUACGUGACUGACGCUGAGACGCGAAAGCGUGGGGAGCAAACAGG
rnacentral:rRNA from 1 species